GAAAUUUCACUAGGCUGCCAACAAUCUGCCAUUUGGAUUUACCAAUGACAUAUAGAGAUUCAAUCUUCAGUAUUUAAAAGAUUCAGAAAUUGAAAAUUUUAGUGUGUGAUUAAAAAAUAUAUGCUAAACAGAUUCAUAAAAAGAACUAAUAGAUUAAGAGAUUGAAAAGGGCCGUUAAACUCAGCGAUUACAAAAAAAAAUUCCUAAUCCAGUUCUUCAAUUAGUAGUUUAUUAA
rnacentral:misc_RNA from 1 species